rnacentral:rRNA from 1 species
GACGAACGCUGGCGGCGUGCUUAACACAUGCAAGUCGAGCGGAAAGGCCCUUUUGGGGUACUCGAGCGGCGAACGGGUGAGUAACACGUGAGUAAUCUGCCCUUCACUUUGGGAUAGCCACCGGAAACGGUGAUUAAUACCGGAUACGACGCACUCGGGCAUCCGAUGUGUGUGGAAACUUUUUGGGUGGGGGAUGUGCUCUCGGCCUAUCAGCUUGUUGGUGGGGUAAUGGCCUACCAAGGCUUUGACGGGUAGCCGGCCUGAGAGGGUGACCGGCCACACUGGGACUGAGACACGGCCCAGACUACUACGGGAGGCAGCAGUGGGGAAUAUUGGACAAUGGGCGGAAGCCUGAUCCAGCAACGCCGCGUGAGGGAUGACGGCCUUCGGGUUGUAAACCUCUUUCAGCACCGACGAAGCGCAAGUGACGGUAGGUGCAGAAGAAGGACCGGCCAACUACGUGCCAGCCGCCGCCGUAAGAC